rnacentral:rRNA from 1 species
GAUGAACGCUGGCGGCGUGCCUAAUACAUGCAAGUCGAGCGAACGGACGAGAAGCUUGCUUCUCUGAUGUUAGCGGCGGACGGGUGAGUAACACGUGGAUAACCUACCUAUAAGACUGGGAUAACUUCGGGAAACCGGAGCUAAUACCGGAUGAUAUUUUGAACCGCAUGGUUCAAAAGUGAAAGACGGUCUUGCUGUCACUUAUAGAUGGAUCCGCGCUGCAUUAGCUAGUUGGUAAGGUAACGGCUUACCAAGGCAACGAUGCAUAGCCGACCUGAGAGGGUGAUCGGCCACACUGGAACUGAGACACGGUCCAGACUCCUACGGGAGGCAGCAGUAGGGAAUCUUCCGCAAUGGGCGAAAGCCUGACGGAGCAACGCCGCGUGAGUGAUGAAGGUCUUCGGAUCGUAAAACUCUGUUAUUAGGGAAGAACAUAUGUGUAAGUAACUGUGCACAUCUUGACGGUACCUAAUCAGAAAGCCACGGCUAACUACGUGCCAGCAGCCGCGGUAAUACGUAGGUGGCAAGCGUUAUCCGGAAUUAUUGGGCGUAAAGCGCGCGUAGGCGGUUUUUUAAGUCUGAUGUGAAAGCCCACGGCUCAACCGUGGAGGGUCAUUGGAAACUGGAAAACUUGAGUGCAGAAGAGGAAAGUGGAAUUCCAUGUGUAGCGGUGAAAUGCGCAGAGAUAUGGAGGAACACCAGUGGCGAAGGUGACUUUCUGGUCUGUAACUGACGCUGAUGUGCGAAAGCGUGGGGAUCAAACAGGAUUAGAUACCCUGGUAGUCCACGCCGUAAACGAUGAGUGCUAAGUGUUAGGGGGUUUCCGCCCCUUAGUGCUGCAGCUAACGCAUUAAGCACUCCGCCUGGGGAGUACGACCGCAAGGUUGAAACUCAAAGGAAUUGACGGGGACCCGCACAAGCGGUGGAGCAUGUGGUUUAAUUCGAAGCAACGCGAAGAACCUUACCAAAUCUUGACAUCCUUUGACAACUCUAGAGAUAGAGCCUUCCCCUUCGGGGGACAAAGUGACAGGUGGUGCAUGGUUGUCGUCAGCUCGUGUCGUGAGAUGUUGGGUUAAGUCCCGCAACGAGCGCAACCCUUAAGCUUAGUUGCCAUCAUUAAGUUGGGCACUCUAAGUUGACUGCCGGUGACAAACCGGAGGAAGGUGGGGAUGACGUCAAAUCAUCAUGCCCCUUAUGAUUUGGGCUACACACGUGCUACAAUGGACAAUACAAAGGGCAGCGAAACCGCGAGGUCAAGCAAAUCCCAUAAAGUUGUUCUCAGUUCGGAUUGUAGUCUGCAACUCGACUACAUGAAGCUGGAAUCGCUAGUAAUCGUAGAUCAGCAUGCUACGGUGAAUACGUUCCCGGGUCU